UACCUGGUUGAUCCUGCCAGUAGUCAUAUGCUUGUCUCAAAGAUUAAGCCAUGCAAGUCUAAGUACGAGCUCUCGUACAGUGAAACUGCGAAUGGCUCAUUAAAUCAGUUAUGGUUCAUUUGAUCGUACAGUUUACUUGGAUAACUGUGGUAAUUCUAGAGCUAAUACAUGCGAGAAGCGCCGACCUCGCGGGAGGCGUGCAUUUAUCAGACCAAAAACCGGCCGCGUCUUCGGGCGCGUUCGCCUUGGUGACUCUGGAUAACUUUGCGGAUCGCACGGUCUAGCACCGGCGACGGAUCAUUCAAGUGUCUGCCCUAUCAACUUUCGUCGUUACGGUAUUUGCCUACCGAGGUUCUUACGGGUGACGGGGAAUCAGGGUUCGAUUCCGGAGAGGGAGCCUGAGAAACGGCUACCACAUCCAAGGAAGGCAGCAGGCGCGCAAAUUACCCAUUCCCGACGCGGGGAGGUAGUGACGAAAAAUAACAAUGCAGGACUCGUUCGAGGCCCUGUAAUUGGAAUGAGUACACUUUAAAAGCUUUAACGAGUAUCCAUUGGAGGGCAAGUCUGGUGCCAGCAGCCGCGGUAAUUCCAGCUCCAAAAGUAUAUAUUUAAGUUGUUGCGGUUAAAAAGCUCGUAGUUGGAUUUUGGGCGCAGGCGGCCGGUCGUCGCAAGGCUUGUACUGGACGUCUGG
rnacentral:ncRNA from 1 species